ensembl:lncRNA
CACCUAUAUAUGCCAGGCCCCUCGCCAAGCGCUGGAAACACAAGGUCCAGCUCUGGAGUGUGGAGUCCAGUGAAGAGACAGCGGCACAGAAGGCAGAGGGCUUGUAUCCCUCGCGGGCUGCAGGUGUCAGACGCAGCCCACCUGUGAGGAGUUCAGCGCAGUUUUCAACCCGAUAAGUUCCCCAACCAGGGAUCAAACCGACGCCCCUGCAUUGGAAGCAUGGAGUCUUAACCACAGGACCGUCAGGGAGGUCCCCCAUACAGCUUUUCGCCAAGUAUUUGGCACAGAUGAAAACACAAGGCAAGCUAUGCUUUGGUGACGAGCCAAGGAAAAUAUCCACUGAAUACAAACCAGGCUCCCAGAACAUGCCCAGCGAAGUGCACAGGAAACACUCUGUCCUCCGCGAGCGAGCGCUGAAGGCGGCCUCUCCUCUCUGCUUCCUCGAGGCCCCAGCCGCAGGUUGCCACAGAGCAGCCGCCCUGGGUGUCGGGUCACCCAUCCAACUCCACGGGCAGGUGCUGUCUGAGCCUGGGCGCCGUGUGUGCAGACAGCGGCAGCGCGCCCACCCGCCUGCGCCCCUCACCGCGGAGGCUGAGCUUCGGCACCUGGACGCCGGGGCCCCGCCGUCAGAGAGCGGCUCCAUCCGGACCCCAGCGGCCUGGCCCAGGCCCUGCGGGUGUGAGUGGAGUCCUCGGGCCUCUGCGAGUC